UACGUAGGGGGCUAGCGUUGUCCGGAAUCAUUGGGCGUAAAGCGCGUGUAGGCGGUUCGGUAAGUCCGCUGUGAAAGUCGGGGGCUCAACCCUCGGAUGCCGGUGGAUACUGUCGAGCUUGAGUACGGAAGAGGCGAGUGGAAUUCCUGGUGUAGCGGUGAAAUGCGCAGAUAUCAGGAGGAACACCAAUUGCGAAGGCAGCUCGCUGGGACGUUACUGACGCUGGAGACGCGAAAGCGUGGGGAGCAAAACGG
rnacentral:rRNA from 1 species